AACGAACGCUGGCGGCAUGCCUAACACAUGCAAGUCGAACGCCCGUAGCAAUACGGGAGUGGCAGACGGGUGCAUAACACGUGGGAACCUACCCUAGGGUUCGGAAUAACCGCGGGAAACUGCGGCUAAUACCGGAUACGUCCUCUGGGAGAAAGAUUUAUCGCCCUUGGAGGGGCCCGCGUCGGAUUAGCUAGUUGGUGAGGUAACGGCUCACCAAGGCGACGAUCCGUAGCUGAUCUGAGAGGAUGAUCAGCCACACUGGAACUGAGACACGGUCCAGACUCCUACGGGAGGCAGCAGUGGGGAAUAUUGGACAAUGGGCGCAAGCCUGAUCCAGCAAUGCCGCGUGGGUGAUGAAGGCCUUCGGGUUGUAAAGCCCUUUUGGCAGGGACGAUGAUGACGGUACCUGCAGAAUAAGCCCCGGCUAACUUCGUGCCAGCAGCCGCGGUAA
rnacentral:rRNA from 1 species